UUAAGCAUAUCAAUAAGCGGAGGAAAAGAAACUAACAAGGAUUCCCUUAGUAACUGCGAGUGAAGUGGGAAGAGCUCAAAUUUGAAAUCUGGCAGCUCUAUAGUUGUCCGAAUUGUAAUCUGGAGAAGUGCUACCUGUGUGGGACGAAAA
rnacentral:rRNA from 1 species